CCUACGGGAGGCAGCAGUAGGGAAUAUUGCUCAAUGGGGGAAACCCUGAAGCAGCAACGCCGCGUGGAGGAUGAAGGUUUUCGGAGGGUAAACGCCUGUUGGUAGAGAAGAGAAGGACGGUACCCCAAUAGCAAGCCACGGCUAACGACGUGCCAGCAGCCGCGGUAAUACGGAGGUGGCAAGCGUUAUCCGGAAUGACUGGGCGUAAAGGGUGCGGAGGGGGUUUAGGACGUGGGCGGUGGAAUUCCGGGGCUCAACCUCGGCGCGACCGCCCAAACUCUUAGACUAGAGUGCAGGAGGGGUAAUUGGAAUUCCUCGUGUAGCGGUGUAAUGCGUAGAUAUUAGGCGGCACCCCAGUGGCGAAGGCGGCUUACUGGACUGUAACUGCCGUUGCGGCUCGAAAGCGUGGGGAGCACACAGGAUUAGAUACCCCAGUAGUC
rnacentral:rRNA from 1 species